rnacentral:rRNA from 2 species
AGGUGCGAUCAUACCAACACUAAUGCACUGGAUCCCAUUAGAACUCCGCAGUUAAGCGUGCUUGGGAGAAAGUAGUACUAGGAUGGGUGGCCUCCUAGGAAGUCCUCGUGUUGCACCUC